GCUCACUUCAUCAGCACUUAUACUAAAAUUGGAAUGAUACAGAGAAGAUUAGCAUGGCCCCUGUGUAAUUCAUUAUUAAAUAUCUUAAAAUUCAUUGACACAUUUU